rnacentral:lncRNA from 1 species
AUGGCAGGUCAUGGAUAAAUCAUCAAACCUCAUCAUCAGUCAGAUGAUUGAUUUAAUCAACUCGAGUCCAUGCAUGAUUCUUAUAGAAAUUCUUUUCUAUUAAUCACACUGCUAUGGUCAUAGACUUAAAGACUCAGCUUCAUAAAUCUCAUAGGACUACUCUCUUCUAUUAGGAUCGAUAGAUCCCAUCUAGGUGUACACCCUACUCCUAUAGUAGACCAACUAUUAUCAACAUCCACUAUAAGG